CACACAGACACACUAAUCGGGUUCUAAAAGAAUUCCCACUAUAAAUAUAAACAUAUUGCCGUGUUGGGCUGAAAGAGAAUGUCCCAGAGUAGAAGAUAACACAAUCCUUCGAAGACUUCCAUGUUCCUUUUUUUUCCCCUCUAUUUCCUCAAUAACAACCUCUAUAAUUAGGGCUCAUUUGGUCUCGACAGACAAUGGGAGCUCCAAGAUGUCAUCAAUGUCCUCGUAUUCUUCAUAGUAUUGCAUUAGUGUUGAGGCAUUUGUUUGUUAUUCCGAAAGAUUUUGUUUUCAAAAGAACAAAAAUGAAGAUUUAAUUGACAUAUAUUUUUAAUUCUCAGUAAACAAAACAAAACAAAACUUUUUUUUAAAUUUGGCAUUUAAAAGAUAUUUGUACACUGCAUUGUUUUUUUGGUUUUUUUUGCAUUGUUU